AACGAACGCUGGCGGCAGGCUUAACACAUGCAAGUCGAACGGGUGUAGCAAUACAUCAGUGGCAGACGGGUGAGUAACACGUGGGAACCUUCCUCGUUGUACGGGACAACUCAGGGAAACUUGAGCUAAUACCGUAUACGUCCGAGAGGAGAAAGAUUUAUCGCAAUGAGACGGGCCCGCGUCGGAUUAGCUAGUUGGUAGGGUAACGGCCUACCAAGGCGACGAUCCGUAGCUGAUCUGAGAGGAUGAUCAGCCACACUGGGACUGAGACACGGCCCAGACUCCUACGGGAGGCAGCAGUGGGGAAUCUUGGACAAUGGGCGCAAGCCUGAUCCAGCCAUGCCGCGUGAGUGAAGAAGGCCUUAGGGUUGUAAAGCUCUUUUGCCAGGGACGAUAAUGACGGUACCUGGAGAAUAAGCCCCGGCAAACUUCGUGCCAGCCGCCGCCGUAACAC
rnacentral:rRNA from 1 species